GAUGAAGAACGUAGCGAAAUGCGAUAAGUAAUGUGAAUUGCAGAAUUCAGUGAAUCAUCGAAUCUUUGAACGCACCUUGCGCUCUUUGGUAUUCCGAAGAGCAUGCCUGUUUGAGUGUCAUGAAAAUAUCAACCUUGACUUGGGUUUUGUGCUCUAGUCUUGGCUUGGAAUUGGGUGCUUGCCGCUUUUACGAGCGGCUCACCUUAAAUGUAUUAGCUGGAUCUGUCUUUGAGACUUGGUUUGACUUGGCGUAAUAAGUAUUUCGCUAAGGACAUUCUUCGGAGUGGCCUCGUUUCUAGGACGCUUGUCCGCUUUCCAAUACAAGUUCCACCUCGUGGACAUGACUUUUUAUUAUCUGGCCUCAAAUCAGGUAGGACUACCCGCUGAACUUAAGCAUAUCAAUAAGCGGAGGA
rnacentral:misc_RNA from 1 species